rnacentral:rRNA from 1 species
AGUGAACGCUGGCGGUAGGCCUAACACAUGCAAGUCGAACGGCAGCACAGUAAGAGCUUGCUCUUACGGGUGGCGAGUGGCGGACGGGUGAGGAAUACAUCGGAAUCUACUUUUUCGUGGGGGAUAACGUAGGGAAACUUACGCUAAUACCGCAUACGACCUACGGGUGAAAGCAGGGGAUCUUCGGACCUUGCGCGAUUGAAUGAGCCGAUGUCGGAUUAGCUAGUUGGCGGGGUAAAGGCCCACCAAGGCGACGAUCCGUAGCUGGUCUGAGAGGAUGAUCAGCCACACUGUAACUGAGACACGGUCCAGACUCCUACAGGAGGCAGCAGUGGGGAAUAUUGGACAAUGGGCGCAAGCCUGAUACAGCCAUACCGCGUGGGUGAAGAAGGCCUUCGGGUUGUAAAGCCCUUUUGUUGGGAAAGAAAAGCAGCAGGUUAAUACCCCGCUGUUCUGACGGUACCCAAAGAAUAAGCACCGGCUAACUUCGUG